rnacentral:rRNA from 1 species
CCUACGGGUGGCAGCAGUGAGGAAUAUUGGUCAAUGGUCGGGAGACUGAACCAGCCAAGCCGCGUGAGGGAUGAAGGUACAGAGUAUCGUAAACCUCUUUUGUCAGGGAACAAAGGCGGGGACGUUUCCCCGGAUGAGUGUACCUGAAGAAACAGCAUCGGCUAACUCCGUGCCAGCAGCCGCGGUAAUACGGAGGAUGCGAGCGUUCUCCGGAUUUAUUGGGUUUAAAGGGUGCGCAGGCGGUCUGUUAAGUCAGCGGUAAAAGCCCGGGGCUCAACACCGGCCCGCCGUUGAAACUGGCAGUCUCGAGUUGGAGAGAAGUAUGCGGAAUGCGCGGUGUAGCGGUGAAAUGCAUAGAUAUCGCGCAGAACUCCGAUUGCGAAGGCAGCAUGCCGGCUCCACACUGACGCUGAGGCACGAAAGCGUGGGUAUCGAACAGGAUUAGAUACCCUGUAGUC